rnacentral:rRNA from 1 species
UACGUAGGGGGCAAGCGUUGUCCGGAAUCAUUGGGCGUAAAGAGCGUGUAGGCGGCUUCGUCAGUCCGCUGUGAAAGUCGGGGGGCUCAACCCUCGGAUGCCGGUGGAUACUGUCGGGCUUGAGUACGGAAGAGGCGAGUGGAAUUCCUGGUGUAGCGGUGAAAUGCGCAGAUAUCAGGAGGAACACCAAUUGCGAAGGCAGCUCGCUGGGACGUUACUGACGCUGAGACGCGAAAGCGUGGGGAGCAAACAGG